rnacentral:rRNA from 1 species
CCUACGGGAGGCAGCAGUGAGGAAUAUUGCUCAAUGGGCGAAAGCCUGAAGCAGCAACGCCGCGUGGAGGAAGAAGGUCUUCGGAUUGUAAACUCCUUUUCUUAGGGACGAGGAAGGACGGUACCUGAGGAAUAAGUCACGGCUAACUACGUGCCAGCAGCCGCGGUAAUACGUAGGUGGCGAGCGUUAUCCGGAAUUAUUGGGCGUAAAGCGCAAGCAGGCGGCUUCUUAAGUCUGACGUAAAAUUUCCUGGCUUAACUGGGAGGGGUCGUUGGAGACUGAGGGGCUUGAGGCGAUGAGAGGGACAUGGAAUUCCCGGUGUAGUGGUGGAAUGCGUAGAUAUCGGGAGGAAUACCAGAGGCGAAAGCGGUGUCCUGGCAUUAGCCUGACGCUCAUGUGCGAAAGCGUGGGGAGCGAACGGGAUUAGAUACCCCGGUAGUCCACGCUGUAAACGAUGAAUACUGGGUGUAGGCGGGGUUAGAGCCGUCUGUGCCGAAGCAAACGCGUUAAGUAUUCCGCCUGGGGAGUACGGCCGCAAGGCUAAAACUCAAAUGAAUUGACGG